ACCUCCCCCACCUCCCCCUCCCCCUCCCGCCGCGGGGUGGCGCGCGCCUCGGCCGUUGGGCCCGCGCGCGGGGGGCGGGGCGGGGCUGCGUGGGGAGGGCGCCACCGAGCGUCCCGGCCCCGUUAGCCCCGUCGCCUCCCACCGGAGUUCGGAUCCGCGCCCGGCCCGGCUCUCCGCGCCGCGUCUCCUGGACGGGUAAACUGAGGCCUGGAGAGGGCUCGGGUUCGAGUCCCGCCGCCGGUCACCCACUCCGAGGCGGCGCGGGGCCUGUGGGCAAGACGGCGUAGCCAAGAGCGGUCAGGUCUCGGCCCCACAGCCCGGCUGACGCAGAGCGGGCGCGUUGGGGCUCGAGUCCCCGCCCCUCUGCUGACCAGCUGUGAUGGAUGACCUUGAGCAAGUGACCUCGCUCCUCUCCCUGAGGGCCCUCGUCUCUCACGUGAUAGUACUUGAUCCAAGGGGCUGCUGGUGAGGUUAAGUUAAUGCUUGUAAAGCCCAUGGGACCGUGCAGGGACCUGAAAGAGCUCUCAAGACCCAAGCCAGGACUUGAGGGAUAUGUUCACGAGGCACCGGCAUUCCAGGCAGAGGGAUAGAAACAGGAAAGUGCAGGGCAGAUUCUACUGGAACUUCCCAGCCGGCAAACUUAUGUGAAACUUUCUGGGAGGUGACAUGAGUGGAAUUCUGCCUGAUUCCGGUGAGCUCUCUACGUCACCUCAGAGACAGGGGAAAGAAGCCGGAAGCAGACCCAGGCCUGUCUUCAUCCACCCUCAGCUAGCACAUGGCGAGCAUUCAAGAAUGGAGGCUGGGGCGACUGGGUGGCUCAGUUGGUUAAGCAUGUGCCUUCGGCUCAGGUCAUGAUCUCAGGGUCCUGUGAUGAGUCCCGCAUUGGGCUCCUUGCUCAGUGGGGAGCUUGCUUCUCCCUCUC